UUAAAAUAUAAAUUAUAAAUAUUAGAGUAGUAAUAGAUAUAUUCUUCAAACUUAAAAAAUUUGGCGGUAUUUUAAUCUAUUUAGAGGAAUUUGUUUUAUAAUCGAUAAUCCACGUUGAAUCUAACUUAAAAUUGUUUAAUUUGUAUAUCGUUGUCAUAAGAAUAUCUUUAAAAAGAAAUAAUUUUCUAAUUUAAUUAUUUUUAUUUAUGUCAGAUCAAGGUGCAGUUUAUAUUUAAGUAAAAAUGGGUUACAAUAAAUUUAUUUAUUAUGAAUUAAAAAUUUAAAUAUUUUUAUGAAAGUGGAUUUAAUAGUAAAUUUUUAGAGAUUAAAAAAUUGAUUUUAGUUCUAAAAUAUGU
rnacentral:rRNA from 1 species